UACGAAGGGGGCUAGCGUUGUUCGGAAUUACUGGGCGUAAAGCGUGCGCAGGCGGCUUCUCAAGUCAGGGGUGAAAGCCCAGAGCUCAACUCUGGAAUUGCCUUUGAGACUGAGUGGCUUGAGUACGAGAGAGGUGAGUGGAAUUCCCAGUGUAGAGGUGAAAUUCGUAGAUAUUGGGAAGAACACCGGUGGCGAAGGCGGCCCCCUGGGACAGUAACUGACGACUGAGGCGCGACAGUGUGGGGAGCAAACAGG
rnacentral:rRNA from 1 species